GAUAAACUGUCGGCGGAGGAAAAAAAAAAAACAGCUGCAUAACGGCAGAGCAGAGACAGAUGGAAGCAAAACAGCCAAACCAAUAAAUGAUAAACAAAUCCAGGAAAUCUUAACGAGCUCCACGUGUUUUGUAGGCACUUUGAGCCUUGCUACCCGGUUUUUAUCCCCCACCUAACCUUUUGGACGUUGUAGUUCUCUACAUGCCCACCAGAUGUCCCUCCCACUCACUGCAGCAGCUGCAGCCCAUUACUUAUUCACACUCACUUCUUCUUCCCCACAGGAGGAGCUGUGUGCUGCCAGACGCAUUGCUUCAGGAGAAAAUCCUGCGCUUGCCGACAACCAGUGAAUCAAAGAACUCGAUAUUAAACGCGGCUGCUGCUGCAGUGCAGACAGACGUUGAUGAGAACAGAGGAGGAAAUACGAGUGACUCAUCCACCGCAGGGAGACGAGCAUUUGCUGUAGCUGCAGGGGGUCCGGCUUCAUCUGACAAAACGCUGGAAGACCGAACGGAUAAAAGAUAUCACUAAAUCUGGUGGAUUUCUUCAAGCAAACGCCAAAAGUGAGAGAGGAGGCGCCGGGAGAGCGGAAGGUUCAGCACAGCUGAGAAUGAACAGGUCCGUCCGUUUGGUCCGAUCUGGAGCGCGGCGGAGGGCGGAGCUGGUUUGAGCACAGUGGAGCAGUCAAGGAGAAGAGACGGGUCAAAGUUGCCAGCCAGAGCGCCAUGAGACACAUGGAAGCUGGACCCGGACACAGCCUAAAGCAACAGAGGAGCCCGCAAACCAUCUGUCUCGAGCCGAGGAAUUAUCACAGCUACAAGGAGCGUUCAGCUGGUCGGACGACUUCGUUGGCAGCUGUUGCAGAAUUCAGAGUCACCCUCCAGAGGAGGCAGCGUAUUUAUGGCGCUGGCUUUCAUUGUGUUCUGCAUCUCGCACCUACUGAGACUACAAACCCUCAAUUUCCACAGCCAUGUGGAGUUAAUUAGUUUGAACCUUUUGUCUAGGCUCAUGGUGUCAAAUAAAAGCAAAAGAAAACAAUUCAUCAAGA